UGGGGAAUAUUGCACAAUGGGCGCAAGCCUGAUGCAGCCAUGCCGCGUGUGUGAAGAAGGCCUUCGGGCUGUAAAGCACUUUCAGCGAGGAGGAAGGUGGUGAGCUUAAUACGCUCAUCAAUUGACGUUACUCGCAGAAGAAGCACCGGCUAACUCCGUGCCAGCAGCCGCGGUAAUACGGAGGGUGCAAGCGUUAAUCGGAAUUACUGGGCGUAAAGCGCACGCAGGCGGUUUGUUAAGUCAGAUGUGAAAUCCCCGGGCUCAACCUGGGAACUGCAUUUGAAACUGGCAAGCUAGAGUCUCGUAGAGGGGGGUAGAAUUCCAGGUGUAGCGGUGAAAUGCGUAGAGAUCUGGAGGAAUACCGGUGGCGAAGGCGGCCCCCUGGACGAAGACUGACGCUCAGGUGCGAAAAGGCGUGGGGCAAGCAAAACAGGAUUAGAUACCCUGGUAGUCCACGCUGUAAACGAUGUCGAUUUUGGAGGUUGUGCCCCUUGAGGCGUGGCUUCCGGAGCUAACGCGUUAAAUCGACCGCCUGGGGAGU
rnacentral:rRNA from 1 species